UCCAUCUUGCAGGAAUUUAACACCCGCAAGUCGAGGGUCUUUUAGGAUUGCGAAGAAGGCUAUGCAUCCAGCAGGCGUUCGACUCCCCUUCCAGUACGCAGUGCAGACAAAAAAAAGGUUCUGCUUUGAGCAGACGGAGUGACUGGUUUCAAGGAGAAGGACAACCACACAAGAUUCCAUUCAAUGCCAACAGAAGAAUAAAAUAAGAUGUGGAUAAAACUUUGCUAUAUUUGAUGCGCAAGGUAAUAAAAACCUGGACAAUAUCGCAAACGGUAGAGGAGGAGAAUUUGGAGGGAAAAAGUGCAAGUGUGAGAGGCCCAUUUG